rnacentral:misc_RNA from 1 species
GAUGAAGAACGUAGUGAAAUGCGAUACUUGGUGUGAAUUGCAGAAUCCCGUGAACCAUCGAGUCUUUGAACGCAAGUUGCGCCCGAAGCCAUUAGGCCGAGGGCACGCCUGCCUGGGCGUCACACGUCGUUGCCCCCCCAUCUACUCCUUCGGGAUUGCGGGGGGCGGAUGAUGGCCUCUCGUGCGCCUCGUCGCGCGGUUGGCCUAAAUGCCAAGUCCUCGGCGACGCACGCCACGACAAUCGGUGGUUGCGAAACCUCGGUUGCCUGUCGUGUGCGGUCGCCGCGCAUCGAGGGCUCGAAAAAAUUGCCGGGCUUCGGCUCGACUUUCAACGCGACCCCAGGUCAGGCGGGGUUACCCGCUGAAUUUAAGCAUAUCAAUAAGCGGAGGA